rnacentral:rRNA from 1 species
UACAGAGAGUGCAAACGUUGUUCGGAAUUACUGGGCGUAAAGCGUAUGCAGGCGGAUCGUUAAGUCGGGGGUGAAAUCCCGAGGCUCAACCUCGGAACUGCCUUCGAUACUGGCGAUCUUCGAGUCCGGGAGAGGUGAGUGGAACUCCGAGUGUAGAGGUGAAAUUCGUAGAUAUUCGGAAGAACACCAGUGGCGAAGGCGGCUCACUGGCCCGGUACUGACGCUGAGAUACGAAAGCGUGGGGAGCAAACAGG